rnacentral:rRNA from 1 species
ACGGCUCAGUAACACGUCAAUAAUCUGCCCUUAGGUCUGGUAUAACCUUGGGAAACUGAGGCUAAAACCGGAUAGAUGAUUUCUACUGGGAUGUGAUUUCAUUUAAAGGCAACGCCUAAGGAUGAGUUGGCGGCUGAUUAGGUUGUUGGUAGUGUAAAGGACUACCAAGCCAGCGAUCAGUACGGGCCGUGAGAGCGGUAGCCCGGAGAAGGGUACUUAGACACUGACCCUAGCCCUACGGGGUGCAGCAGGCGCGAAACCUUUACAAUGUACGUAAGUGCGAUAAGGAAACUUCCAGUGCUCAUGCAUUGCAUGGGCUUUUGCCAAAUGUAAAUAGUUUGGCGAAUAAGUGGUGGGUAAGACGGGUGCCAGCCGCCGCGGUAACACCUGCGCCACGAGUGGCAAUCACGUUUAUUGGGCCUAAAGCGUUCGUAGCCGGAUAGAAUAGUCUUGAGUGAAAUUGUUGCGCUUAACAAAACAACGGGCUUGAGAAACUCUCUAUCUAGGAACCGGGAGGAGUUAGGAGUAUUUCUGAGGGAGCGGUAAAAUGUUAUAAUCUCAGAAGGACUGCCUGUGGCGAAGGCGCCUAACUAGAACGGGUUCGACGGUGAGGAACGAAAGCUAGGGGAGCAAAACGGAUUAGAUACCCGAGUAGUCCUAGCCGUAAACGCUGUGAACUAGAUGCAACAGGUUCUAUAUGGACUUGUGGUGUCGGAGUGAAGACGUUAAGUUCACCGCCUGGGAAGUACGGUCGCAAGGCUGAAACUUAAAGGAAUUGGCGGGGGAGCAC